rnacentral:rRNA from 1 species
AGAGUUUGAUCCUGGCUCAGGAUGAACGCUGGCGGCGUGCUUAACACAUGCAAGUCGAACGAUUAAUCCGCCCUCGGGCGGUUAUAGAGUGGCGAACGGGUGAGUAACACGUGACCAACCUGCCCCUUGCUCCGGGAUAACCCAGGGAAACCUCGGCUAAUACCGGAUACUCCGCGCAGCCCGCAUGGGCGGCGCGGGAAAGCCCAGACGGCAAGGGAUGGGGUCGCGGCCCAUUAGGUAGACGGCGGGGUAACGGCCCACCGUGCCCGCGAUGGGUAGCCGGGUUGAGAGACCGAUCGGCCACAUUGGGACUGAGAUACGGCCCAGACUCCUACGGGAGGCAGCAGUGGGGAAUUUUGCGCAAUGGGGGAAACCCUGACGCAGCAACGCCGCGUGCGGGACGAAGGCCUUCGGGUUGUAAACCGCUUUCAGCAGGGAAUAUCGUGAAGGUACCUGCAGAAGAAGCUCCGGCUAACUACGUGCCAGCAGCCGCGGUAAUACGUAGGGAGCGAGCGUUAUCCGGAUUCAUUGGGCGUAAAGCGCGCGUAGGCGGCCCGUCAAGCGGGGUUUCAAAUCCAGGGGCUCAACCUCUGGCCGGACCCCGAACUGGCGGGCUCGAGUGCGGUAGAGGAAGGUGGAAUUCCCAGUGUAGCGGUGAAAUGCGCAGAUAUUGGGAAGAACACCGAUGGCGAAGGCAGCCUUCUGGGCCGCCACUGACGCUGAGGCGCGAAAGCUAGGGGAGCGAACAGGAUUAGAUACCCUGGUAGUCCUAGCCGUAAACGAUGGGCACUAGGUGUGGGGGAGCAUCUCCUCCGUGCCGCAGCCAACGCAUUAAGUGCCCCGCCUGGGGAGUACGGCCGCAAGGCUAAAACUCAAAGGAAUUGACGGGGGCCCGCACAAGCAGCGGAGCAUGUGGCUUAAUUCGAAGCAACGCGAAGAACCUUACCUAGACUUGACAUGUCCUGAAUUACCAGUAAUGUGGGAAGUUCCUUCGGGAACAGGAACACAGGUGGUGCAUGGUUGUCGUCAGCUCGUGUCGUGAGAUGUUGGGUUAAGUCCCGCAACGAGCGCAACCCUUAUUGUUAGUUGCCAUCAUUAAGUUGGGCACUCUAGCGAGACUGCCCGGGUUAACCGGGAGGAAGGUGGGGAUGACGUCAAAUCAUCAUGCCUCUUAUGUCUAGGGCUACACACGUGCUACAAUGGUCGGUACAAUAAGACGCAAGCCCGCGAGGGGGAGCAAAACUGGAAAACCGAUCUCAGUUCGGAUUGUAGGCUGAAACUCGCCUACAUGAAGCUGGAGUUGCUAGUAAUCGAGAAUCAGCAUGUCGCGGUGAAUACGUUCCCGGG